rnacentral:rRNA from 1 species
UAAAGCGUCCGCAGGUGGUGCCUCAAGUCUGCUGUCAAAGACCGAAGCUUAACUUCGGGCAGGCGGUGGAAACUGAAGCACUAGAGUACGGUAGGGGUAGAGGGAAUUUCCAGUGUAGCGGUGAAAUGCGUAGAGAUUGGAAAGAACACCAGUGGCGAAGGCGCUCUACUGGACCGUAACUGACACUCAGGGACGAAAGCUAGGGUAGCGAAAGGGAUUAGAUACCCCUGUAGUCCUAGCUGUAAACGAUGGAUACUAGGCGUUGCUUGUAUCGACCCGAGCAGUGCCGUAGCCAACGCGUUAAGUAUCCCGCCUGGGGAGUACGCACGCAAGUGUGAAACUCAAAGGAAUUGACGGGGGCCCGCACAAGCGGUGGAGUAUGUGGUUUAAUUCGAUGCAACGCGAAGAACCUUACCAGGGCUUGACAUCCCGCGAAUCAGAGUGAAAGCUCUGAGUGCCUUCGGGAACGCGGAGACAGGUGGUGCAUGGCUGUCGUCAGCUCGUGUCGUGAGAUGUUGGGUUAAGUCCCGCAACGAGCGCAACCCUCGUCCUUAGUUGCCAGCAUUAAGUUGGGCACUUUAGGGAGACUGCCGGUGACAAACCGGAGGAAGGUGGGGAUGACGUCAAGUCAGCAUGCCCCUUACGCUCUGGGCUACACACGUACUACAAUGGUUGGGACAAAGGGCAGCAAGCUCGCGAGAGUAAGCGAAUCUCAGCAAACCCAGCCUCAGUUCAGAUUGCAGGCUGCAACUCGCCUGCAUGAAGGAGGAAUCGCUAGUAAUCGCAGGUCAGCAUACUGCGGUGAAUC